rnacentral:ncRNA from 1 species
UUGAACGCCUGAGAAGGAGAAGUAGAAAACCUCUAGCUUAUUUAGAGAGAAUCAUCACCUGCUGAAAGUGAUUCUAAGCGAUGUUUUCGAAAUGCACCUUUAGAGUCUGUUAUGGAAAUUAGUACAUAACAGCGGUACUCUUCCGUUAUUAGAGAUAAAGUUGGGAGCUGAUCUUUUUUGCUUCAAACAGAGUGGAACCGCGCCAUAAGCGUCUCUGUG